AAUAAUUAAGCAGCAGCAAUAUUUUUAAUAAUAUUACACAAAUGUAUUAGAGCAACUCAUUAAUGUAAGAAGAGACACCAUUAAAUCUCUUAUCAAACAAAAAGAUCAACGAACUUUUUAUUAAAAUUCAGAACAUAUAGGUAUCGUCCAUACACAUGAAAUGCCCAAAAAAUAAAAAAAUAAAGAAGCAGCAAAAAUAAAAUGUCUUCAAGCUCCUCCUUGGCUAGCUAGUACCAUGUCAUCUUGAACAAUAUGGCCUCAAUAAAAAACUCUCAUAAGAGAAUAAUAUUGGCCGCUCUCCAAGUGCGGUUCCUAUUGUACUAUUCCAUACGAAGGCACAUUAUUAUCUUUUAACAUUUGAAAUAAUUCCUGAGUAGAUGGUUUAAAACGAGUCAGACAAUGUUGCGCAAAUUCUUUGCGCCGCAAUACUAAUUGUUAGACAUUAUUCAAGAUAGAUAAGCAAUGAAAAGAAAGCCAAUCAGAUACCAAAAGAAUAAGGGAAUAAGAAACCCAAGAACUCCUAAUCGUCAUUCCAAAUGUUAAAAACUAUGUAAUAGAGUUUAUUUAUUCUUGCCAUUUUACAUUUUCUCUAAAUGGAGAAGUUGGGGAUAAAGAUCAUACAAAACCUAUGGCGAGUUUAGCCAGGACGGAAACUCAAAGAAGCACUUAUGGAAUAUAAUUCGCCUCCAGUACAUCAUUAAUGAUCAGAAAGUUUUUCUCUCGAGCCACUGAAAUUAUUCUAUAACAGAAAUCUAUAGAAAAAGAAAAAGAUAAAACAGAGAAAACAUUCUACAAUUCAACAUUUACUUACCAAAAACGAUAAUAUUUUUUUCCUCAUCCUUUAAUUCUUAUUACCCUUUGCAUAAUUGUAAAGCACAACAAUAAAAUUGAAAACAAGACCAAAUGAAGAAAAAUCAAACCUCAUUAUGUUCGUCGGAUUCAACCCAAAUCAGUGCAAGAUAGCUAAAGAACACAAAUAAACAGUAAAUUAACUUCACAGAUCAGAAUUACAAGUAUACACAAGUAUAAAUAAUGAAAUAAUGAGAAAUAAAAUACUAGAAAGCAAGAAAUACAAAAAGGAAAGAACCUUCUGCAACUUACGAAUUUUAGAGGAAAGGAACGGAUCGUUCUUUUUAAAUUUUUGAAGCCAAAUCGCUUGCACCAUUUCUUCUUCCAUAUUCAACUCUAGAUCUGGAUUUUCGAAGAGAGAGAGAGAGAUAAGAGGUCAGGGGCCGAGGGGUUCGCAUCCCAGAGUAAAGGUUUCAGGAGAAAGAAGUCGCUUGCUUCAAUUUUUUCUUUCCCAUGGGGAGGCUCAAGUUAGGGUUUUAGGAAAGGAGAGAAUAUUUUGGUAAAAAAGUAAAAGACACUAGGAAAUAAACUAAAGGGUGAGGCUGAUUACUUUUUAUUAAUUUUUCAAUUUUAGCGUGAAGAACUGAGGCGACCUAGUCGCUAGAAUAAGACUAUUGUGACAACUCCAAAAAUGUCGUCACAAAAUAUAAUCUAAACGGGAAUAAAAAUUUUGUUCUAAUCAUUAAAGAGUAAAAUUGUGUUUAUUUGUUGCGACUUAAGUUUAGUCGCCUCUAAAUCUUGCUUUUCUGUGGCGACUAAGAUAGCC
rnacentral:lncRNA from 1 species